rnacentral:misc_RNA from 1 species
UAUUUAUUGAAAAACAUUUUUCAAUAAAUUUUAUUUUAUAUAUACAUUUUAAAAUUAUGUUGCGAAUGUCUUAAGGUUCAUUUUGUUAAAAUUCAUCAUUAUUGAGCGGAAUUAAAACAGGAACCAAAUUAACUUUUACCGGGCGCCCAUUUAUUUUGGACUUCGGAUUAAGUACAACAUUUAUUUUAAAUGUACAAUAUAUAUAUAUAUAUAUAUA